rnacentral:rRNA from 1 species
UAACAAGGAUUCCCCUAGUAACUGCGAGUGAAGCGGGAAGAGCUCAAAUUUAAAAUCUGGCGGUUUCACCGUCCGAGUUGUAAUCUGGAGAAGCAUUUUCCGCGUUGGACCGUGUACAAGUCUCUUGGAAUAGAGCGUCAUAGAGGGUGAGAAUCCCGUCCAUGACACGGACUACCAGUGCUUUGUGAUAUGCUCUCAAAGAGUCGAGUUGUUUGGGAAUGCAGCUCAAAAUGGGUGGUAAAUUCCAUCUAAAGCUAAAUAUUGGCGAGAGACCGAUAGCGAACAAGUACCGUGAGGGAAAGAUGAAAAGCACUUUGGAAAGAGAGUUAAACAGUACGUGAAAUUGUUGAAAGGGAAACGCUUGAAGUCAGUCGCGUUGUCCGGGACUCAGCCUUGCUAUUUGCUUGGUGUACUUCCUGGUUGACGGGUCAACAUCAAUUUUGGCUGGUGGAUAAAGGCUGAGAGAAGGUGGCAUCUUCGGAUGUGUUAUAGCUCUUGGUUGCAUACGCUGGCUGGGAUUGAGGUCUGCAGCACGCCUUUUGGCCGGGGUUCGCCCACGUAACGUGCUUAGGAUGUUGGCAUAAUGGCUUUAAGCGACCCGUCUUGAAACACGGACCAAGGAGUCUAACAUGCCUGCGAGUAUUAGAGUGGAAAACUCUUGUGCGAAAUGAAAGUGAAAGUUGGGACUCUUUGCGGAGGCACCAACGCCCGGCCCUGAAGUUUACUGACGGUGCUGCGGUAGAGCAUGUAUGUUGGGACCCGAAAGAUGGUGAACUAUGCCUGAAUAGGGUGAAGCCAGGGGAAACUCUGGUGGAGGCUCGUAGCGAUUCUGACGUGCAAAUCGAUCGUCAAAUUUGGG